GACGAACGCUGGCGGCGUGCUUAACACAUGCAAGUCGAACGGAAAGGCCCCGCUUUUGUGGGGUGCUCGAGUGGCGAACGGGUGAGUAACACGUGAGUAACCUGCCCUUGACUUUGGGAUAAAUUCAGGAAACUGGGGCUAAUACCGGAUAGGAGCUCCUGCUGCAUGGUGGGGGUUGGAAAGUUUCGGCGGUUGGGGAUGGACUCGCGGCUUAUCAGCUUGUUGGUGGGGUAGUGGCUUACCAAGGCUUUGACGGGUAGCCGGCCUGAGAGGGUGACCGGCCACAUUGGGACUGAGAUACGGCCCAGACUCCUACGGGAGGCAGCAGUGGGGAAUAUUGCACAAUGGGCGGAAGCCUGAUGCAGCAACGCCGCGUGCGGGAUGACGGCCUUCGGGUUGUAAACCGCUUUCGCCUGUGACGAAGCGUGAGUGACGGUAAUGGGUAAAGAAGCACCGGCUAACUACGUG
rnacentral:rRNA from 1 species